GGGUGGAGGAGUCGUUGGUCUUGGGCAACGAGGGUCCAUAGAUCCGGGAUAGCAGUUUGGUGGGGCUGGCGUUGAUGGUCUUGGGCAACGAGGAUCCUUAGAUCCUGGGUAGCAAUUAGGGGGCGCUGGUGUAGUUGGUCUUGGGCAUCGUGGAUCGUUACUUCCAGGGUAGCAUUUGGGUUGUCCAGUAGUUGAAGGGGGUAGGUAAGUUGGUGGCGACAAAGUGGUUGGUCUUGGUGGUUGAGGGCAGUUGGGAUCAGGUGAUCCAGGGUAACAGACUGGUUUUUGUGUGGUAGGUUUUGGACAUCUGGGGUCCGUGCUUCCAGGG